UACGUAGGGACCAAGCGUUGUUCGGAUUUACUGGGCGUAAAGCGCGUGUAGGCUGCUUGGAAAGUCGGAUGUGAAAGCCCUGGGCUCAACCUAGGAAGUGCAUUCGAAACUUCCAGCUGGAGUGCUGGAGAGGAAGGCGGAAUUCUCGGUGUAGAGGUGAAAUUCGUAGAUAUCGAGAGGAACACCGGUGGCGAAGGCGGCCUUCUGGACAGUCACUGACGCUGAGACGCGAAAGCGUGGGGAGCAAACAGG
rnacentral:rRNA from 1 species